rnacentral:lncRNA from 1 species
UGCUAUUUUGGACUCAAACCAAACUGAAAGAAUCUAACUAAUGAAGUUAAGUUUCCUGUGUAAGAGAGUUCUUGAAAUAGUAGCAAGAAUAGUUGUUGUCUAGAGUCUAAGGGAAGUUGGUAAUAGUUGGUAGUAGCAAGAGAGAUUCAGAGAGUUGUUGUCUUAGUUCUCUAUAAGGUUGAGUGUUUUUGAAUCAAUGCAAGAAAG